rnacentral:rRNA from 1 species
GACGAACGCUGGCGGUGUGCUUAACACAUGCAAGUGGAGCGACGAACCAGGGCUUGCCCUGGGGCAGAGCCGCGAACGGGUGAGUAACACGUGGGUAACGUACCCCGAUGACCGGGACAACCCGAGGAAACUCGGGCUAAUACCGGAUGUGUCCGUGAAUCACGAGGUUCACGUGCAAAGGAAGCUUCGGCCUCCGCAUCGGGAGCGGCCCGCGGCCCAUUAGCUAGUUGGUGGGGUAAUGGCCUACCAAGGCUGCGAUGGGUAGCUGGUCUGAGAGGACGAUCAGCCACACUGGGACUGAGACACGGCCCAGACUCCUACGGGAGGCAGCAGUGGGGAAUCUUGCGCAAUGCGCGAAAGCGUGACGCAGCAACACCGCGUGAGGGAAGACGGCCUCGGUUG